rnacentral:rRNA from 1 species
ACACAUGCAGGUCGAACGAGAGAUGAGGAGCUUGCUCUUCAAAUCGAGUGGCGAACGGGUGAGUAACGCGUGAGGAACCUGCCUCAAAGAGGGGGACAACAGUUGGAAACGACUGCUAAUACCGCAUAAGCCCACGGCUCGGCAUCGAGCAGAGGGAAAAGGAGCAAUCCGCUUUGAGAUGGCCUCGCGUCCGAUUAGCUAGUUGGUGAGGUAACGGCCCACCAAGGCGACGAUCGGUAGCCGGACUGAGAGGUUGAACGGCCACAUUGGGACUGAGACACGGCCCAGACUCCUACGGGAGGCAGCAGUGGGGAAUAUUGCACAAUGGGGGAAACCCUGAUGCAGCGACGCCGCGUGGAGGAAGAAGGUCUUCGGAUUGUAAACUCCUGUUGUUGAGGAAGAUAAUGACGGUACUCAACAAGGAAGUGACGGCUAACUACGUGCCAGCAGCCGCGGUAAAACGUAGGUCACAAGCGUUGUCCGGAAUUACUGGGUGUAAAGGGAGCGCAGGCGGGAGAACAAGUUGGAAGUGAAAUCCAUGGGCUCAACCCAUGAACUGCUUUCAAAACUGUUUUUCUUGAGUAGUGCAGAGGUAGGCGGAAUUCCCGGUGUAGCGGUGGAAUGCGUAGAUAUCGGGAGGAACACCAGUGGCGAAGGCGGCCUACUGGGCACCAACUGACGCUGAGGCUCGAAAGUGUGGGUAGCAAACAGGAUUAGAUACCCUGGUAGUCCACACCGUAAACGAUGAUUACUAGGUGUUGGAGGAUUGACCCCUUCAGUGCCGCAGUUAACACAAUAAGUAAUCCACCUGGGGAGUACGACCGCAAGGUUGAA